GAUGAACGCUGGCGGCGUGCCUAAUACAUGCAAGUCGAGCGAACAGACGAGGAGCUUGCUCCUCUGACGUUAGCGGCGGACGGGUGAGUAACACGUGGAUAACCUACCUAUAAGACUGGGAUAACUUCGGGAAACCGGAGCUAAUACCGGAUAAUAUAUUGAACCGCAUGGUUCAAUAGUGAAAGACGGUUUUGCUGUCACUUAUAGAGGGAUCCGCGCCGCAUGAGAUAGUUGGUAAGGUAACGGCCUACCAAGGCAACGAUGCGUAGCCGACCUGAGAGUGUGAUCGGCCACACUGGAACGGAGACACGGACCAGACUCCUACGGGAGGCAGCAGUAGGGAAUCUUCCGCAAUGGGCGAAAGCCUGACGGAGCAACGCGGCGUGAGUGAUGAAGGUCUUCGGAUCGUAAAACUCUGUUAUUAGGGAAGAACAAAUGUGUAAGUAACUAUGCACGUCUUGACGGUACCUAAUCAGAAAGCCACGGCUAACUACGUG
rnacentral:rRNA from 1 species